AAACCCCAAAAGUGCCACAUUUUUUUCAUUUCAGAGGCCAAACGACCCCUACGAGCUUCUCUCUCUCGAUUAAGGGUAAAACCCUAGCCGCCUCGUCUCUUUCCUCUCUCUUGCGUCAUGUUAUUGCCAAAAAUGGCAACGAAAUAGUGUACUUUUACUUUCAUCAGAGGCUGCUCGUCCGUUUGGGGUAGAACAAUUAAUGUUCUACCCUCUCUCUUACCAAACACCACCAUUGAAUCACCAAAAGAGCUGUUGGAUGCAGUUUUGAGAGAAGCAAUUACAAGAAUUUCUAUCGUCCGACAUCAGUAAAAAAGCUAGGGUUUCGAGAAUUGGGGGUUCUAUUUAAAGAACUCCAUUCUCCUCAUUUCGAACAAGUUAAGCAUACUAAUAUUUCAAUAUACUCACAUAUAACUCGAAAUACCUAGGGUUUCAAAUCAUUUUUGAGACCUUUAAUUUUUCUGAGUUAAUUUUAUUUUUAAAAGUUGUUUUUAUUGUUUUCUUUGGGUUCGUGGUUGAGUGUGGUGGAGCAAGGAAGGUAUUCCAAGUCCAUUCUCGAUCUAGGCUGCACCUAAGAAAGCCUUCCUCUCCUUGCAAUAAACCUUGUUGGGCUAAAGGCCCAACACCACUUCCUCAUCGAGUCCGAUACCGAAAUGGAAGGGAAGUUAAUAUUUACAAUGAAGGCCCAACCAUGGGUAAAAAAGGUGAAGGCCCAACUAUGGGUGAAAAUAGCAAACUGGUGGGCAUAGGUAGGCCCACCAGCCUAAACCUUUUUCCUCUACAUCUAUUUUUUUAGGUGAAAAUUGUACUUGUAAAAAUACUUAAUAAUUAUUGAAACCCAUGUGAAUGUUAGAA